rnacentral:rRNA from 1 species
CGGCGACCGGCGCACGGGUGAGUAACGCGUAUCCAACCUGCCCAUAACUAAGGGAUAACCCAGCGAAAGUUUGACUAAUACCUUAUGUAUUCGUUUGAUCUCAUGAGACUACGAAUAAAGAUUUAUCGGUUAUGGAUGGGGAUGCGUCUGAUUAGCUUGUUGGCGGGGUAACGGCUCACCAAGGCAACGAUCAGUAGGGGUUCUGAGAGGAAGGUCCCCCACAUUGGAACUGAGACACGGUCCAAACUCCUACGGGAGGCAGCAGAC